GAGGGGAUAGCUCAAGUGGUAGAGUGCUUGCUUAGCAUGCAUGAGGUUCUGGGUUCAAUCCCCAGUACCUCCU
rnacentral:tRNA from 1 species